rnacentral:misc_RNA from 1 species
GAUGAAGAACGUAGCGAAAUGCGAUAAGUAGUGUGAAUUGCAGAAUUCAGUGAAUCAUCGAAUCUUUGAACGCACAUUGCGCCCGCCAGUAUUCUGGCGGGCAUGCCUGUUCGAGCGUCAUUUCAACCAUCAAGCCCCAGGCUUGUGUUGGGGACCUGCGGCUGCCGCAGGCCCUGAAAACCAGUGGCGGGCUCGCUGUCACACCGGGCGUAGUAGAUUUUAUCUCGCUCAGGGCGUGCUGUGGGUUCCGGCCGUUAAAAAGCCUUUUUUACCCAAGGUUGACCUCGGAUCAGGUAGGAAGACCCGCUGAACUUAAGCAUAUCAAUAAGCGGAGGA